rnacentral:misc_RNA from 1 species
CCCUCCCUGGCGCACCGUCGGCCCGGCAGCACCCGCUCGCUUCCUCCCCCACCCCUUUGACCGUCACGCCCGUCGUCGAUCGGGACGCACCAGCUCCGCCGCGCUCGCUCGCCCGUGGCCGGCCGGGCGGCGAUGGAUCCCGUGGCGGCGGCGCACGGCGGCGGCCACCACUUCGCGCCGCCAGUGGCGCCGUUCCACCACGCGUUCGGCGGCGGCCACCACCUGUUCCCGGGACAGCAGCACCCGGCGUUCCAGCAUUUCCAGGAGCACCAGCUGGAGCUCAUGGGCGGGGUCCCCGCCGGCGCGAAGCAGGAGCUCGGCGACGACAGCAACAACACCAUCAACAGCGCGGGGAGCAACGGGAGCGGCGACGGCGACCAGCAGCAGCAGCAGCAGCAGGCCGGGGGCGACGUCGACAACCACCACCAGCACCACCACCACCAGCAGGCCGCGGUGAUGCGCCGCCCGCGGGGUCGCCCCGCGGGGUCCAAGAACAAGCCGAAGCCGCCCGUGAUCAUCACGCGGGACAGCGCCAGCGCGCUGCGCGCGCACGUGCUGGAGGUGGCCGCCGGCUGCGACGUGGUGGACAGCGUGGCCGGCUUCGCGCGGCGCCGCCAGGUGGGCGUGUGCGUGCUCAGCGGCGCCGGCAGCGUGGCCAACGUGUGCGUCCGCCAGCCCGGCGCCGGCGCCGGGGCCGUCACGCUGCCGGGCCGCUUCGAGAUCCUCUCCCUCUGCGGCUCCUUCCUCCCGCCGCCGGCGCCGCCCGCCGCCACGGGCCUCACCGUCUACCUCUCCGGCGGGCAGGGCCAGGUGGUGGGCGGGUCCGUGGCCGGGCCGCUCCUCGCGUCCGGCCCCGUCGUCAUCGUCGCCGCCUGCUUCGGCAACGCCGCCUACGAGCGCCUCCCGCUCGACGACGACGACCUGCCGCAGCAGCAGCAGCACCUGCCCCCUCCUCCUCCUAUUCCGCAGGGCAUGCCCGGAGCUGCCGGCGCCGGCGGGCAGUCCUCGUCCCCGCCGCCCCCGCCGCUGCCAUUGCCCGGACAACACCCGCUCGCCGACCAGCUCCCCCACGGCCUCAUCAACGGCCUCCCUCUCCCCGCUGACGCCUACGGCUGGGCCAACCCAGGAGGCGGCGCCGGCCGCGUCGCCCCGUACUGAUCGAUCGAAUCCGUCGCCGUACCGGACUCGGUCGAUCCGGACAUGGAAGGGGAACCAACGCUUGCUGCUUCAUCGCCAUCGGCGGAUCGACGACGACAAGUAACGAUGCAGCUGCUGCUAAGACUCAAUCCCUCCUCCUUCCCCUUUCGCUUGCCUUCUUCUUCUUCCCCUUCUACUUGCUGCUGUGGCGUGUAUCGACGAAUUCUCAUGUCAUGGAUCGAUGCUUAAUUAGUCAUAGACACCCCCGGCUCGUACCGUAGCAGUGUAAUUUAAUUUCCCUUCCCCCUAGUAGCUCGCAGUGUGCUUGGAACUGCAUGUCAGUCUGCUGCUAAAUUUCCUUUUACUCUAAUUUCACAUGAUCGAUGAUCC